rnacentral:rRNA from 1 species
UAACACAUGCAAGUCGAACGAGAGAGAAGGAGCUUGCUUCUUCGAUCGAGUGGCGAACGGGUGAGUAACGCGUGAGGAACCUGCCUCAAAGAGGGGGACAACAGUUGGAAACGACUGCUAAUACCGCAUAAGCCCACGGGUCGGCAUCGACCAGAGGGAAAGGGAGCAAUCCGCUUUGAGAUGGCCUCGCGUCCGAUUAGCUAGUUGGUGAGGUAAUGGCCCACCAAGGCGACGAUCGGUAGCCGGACUGAGAGGUUGAACGGCCACAUUGGGACUGAGACACGGCCCAGACUCCUACGGGAGGCAGCAGUGGGGAAUAUUGCACAAUGGGGGAAACCCUGAUGCAGCGACGCCGCGUGGAGGAAGAAGGUCUUCGGAUUGUAAACUCCUGUUGUUGAGGAAGAUAAUGACGGUACUCAACAAGGAAGUGACGGCUAACUACGUGCCAGCAGCCGCGGUAAAACGUAGGUCACAAGCGUUGUCCGGAAUUACUGGGUGUAAAGGGAGCGCAGGCGGGAAGACAAGUUGGAAGUGAAAUCCAUGGGCUCAACUCAUGAACUGCUUUCAAAACUGUUUUUCUUGAGUAGUGCAGAGGUAGGCGGAAUUCCCGGUGUAGCGGUGGAAUGCGUAGAUAUCGGGAGGAACACCAGUGGCGAANGCGGCCUACUGGGCACCAACUGACGCUGANGCUCGAAAGUGUGGGUAGCAAACAGGAUUAGAUACCCUGGUAGUCCACACUGUAAACGAUGAUUACUAG